rnacentral:rRNA from 1 species
GAUGAACGCUGGCGGCGUGCCUAAUACAUGCAAGUCGAGCGAACAGACGAGGAGCUUGCUCCUCUGACGUUAGCGGCGGACGGGUGAGUAACGCGUGGAUAACCUACCUAUAAGACUGGGAUAACUUCGGGAAACCGGAGCUAAUACCGGAUAAUAUAUUGAACCGCAUGGUUCAAUAGUGAAAGACGGUUUUGCUGUCACUUAUAGAUGGAUCCGCGCCGCAUUAGCUAGUUGGUAAGGUAACGGCUUACCAAGGCAACGAUGCGUAGCCGACCUGAGAGGGUGCUCGCCCACACGGAAACUGAGACCGGGUCCAGACCCCUAGGGGGGGGAGCGGGAGGAAAUCUUCCGAAGGGGGCAAACGCCAGACGGAACAACGCCGGGGGGGUAAUAAAGGUCUUGGGACGGAAAACCUCUUUUAUUGGGAAAAAACAAAUUUGUAAGUAACUAGGCGCGUUUUAACGGUACCAAAUCAAAAAGCCCCGGCUAACUCCG